UAGGGAAUCUUCCGCAAUGGACGAAAGUCUGACGGAGCAACGCCGCGUGAGCGAAGAAGGCCUUCGGGUCGUAAAGCUCUGUUGUUAGGGAAGAACAAGUAUCGUUCGAAUAGGGCGGUACCUUGACGGUACCUAACCAGAAAGCCACGGCUAACUACGUGCCAGCAGCCGCGGUAAUACGUAGGUGGCAAGCGUUAUCCGGAAUUAUUGGGCGUAAAGCGCGCGCAGGCGGUCCUUUAAGUCUGAUGUGAAAGCCCACGGCUCAACCGUGGAGGGUCAUUGGAAACUGGGGGACUUGAGUGCAGAAGAGGAGAGCGGAAUUCCACGUGUAGCGGUGAAAUGCGUAGAGAUGUGGAGGAACACCAGUGGCGAAGGCGGCUCUCUGGUCUGUAACUGACGCUGAGGCGCGAAAGCGUGGGGAGCAAACAGGAUUAGAUACCCUGGUAGUCCACGCCGUAAACGAUGGGCACUAGGUGCC
rnacentral:rRNA from 1 species